CGGAAUAACCAGAAUAAUUGGCAGCCGGUACACGAACAGCCACCAACGCGACUCCACGCUUCGCAAUGCGCUCGCUUCAAGGUCGAAUCCAUCUUGCCAACCCUAUACGUCUAUUAUUCAAUUUACGUCGGCCCUUUCGACGUUCUCAAUUGAUAAUGAAAAGAUGAAUUGAUUUAAGACACAAUAUACGUGAUAGAAAUCAGGGAGCCUUAACGAAUAACGUCGCGUUAGAAUUUUUUAAAUAUUCAGGUAAGGAUAAUGAUGCCGAAAUGAAAUAAAUGAAAAGAAAUAAUAUUACAAUAAAUAAUCUGUUAAUUAAUAAUGGAAAUAGUGGUAAGAUGAGAUAAAUGAAACGGAAAGAUCUAUUGUAGGGUCUUUUUACACCUUGCGACUAAUUUUAACCAUUUUUUAUGUAUAUCUUUUAGAAAACAUGAUUAUUCCAAUUUUCUGCUAAAUAUCUUCGAUUUUCAUUGUCUAAUUCAUAAAUAUUUAUGAAUUCUUGAAUCAAUAUGCGAUUUCAUUAAUUGCAUGAAUAAGUUUCCAUUAUAUUAAUCGGAUUAUGUUAAUAUUGCAUUAAUCGAAUUGUAACUAAUUGGAUUUUAAUUUAUUUAUAUAAAUUAAUCUGCCUCGUCUGUUAAUCCAGGACUUACAUACACAAAUCUCCAGAGAACAUAAACAGAAUACGAUCAAUCAUGAAACAUUUAAGAAAUAUUAGAAUGUUCUAGCCUCGUAAGAAACGAAAAAAGAAAAUCAAUUUCUCGGUUUAAAAAGAUUUAUCAGUGGCCAUCCGAGUUCCAAUAAUAUUCUGAAGAUUUUUGUAUGCUUUAUAUUAUGAUUAUAUAAUGUCAGUACUUAAUGUUGAAAUAUUUUGCUUCCAUUUACUAUAUUAUUUUUACAAAAGUAACCAGAAUAUAUCGUGUUUGGAAAUAUGUAUAUGUAUAAUAGGUGAAUUUAAAAAGGUAAAUUGUGUCGAUGAAUGAGAUAUGUAUAGAGGUCGCCACGUAUACGUGGUUUUACCGUUAGCACCUUCGGUGGAGCGUCGCGUCGGUGGAAAAAAAAGAUUCACUGAAAUCAACCUAGAAACCUACUUCAGCGCGGAACACGUUAGCCCUAGUGAAAACGAACACGCCGUGCGGGCACCGUUCAUCUUUUUACACUCGUAUAUCGCAAUCCGAGACAAGUGAAACUCGCCAUCGUUGUGCAUUCCCCUCUCCCCAUUUCGAUGUUAAGGUGCAAAUACUUGACGCAUAAGAACAUACGGUCGACCUAACCUCACUUUUGUACUGCUUGGAAGCAGUUUAGGUUAAUGACCUAGAAAUGAGAUUAAAUUGGAUAAAAAUCAACUCCUUGGCCUCUUGCAGGUACAGAAACUCGGACAAUCUGUUUUCCAGAGGAAUCGGUCUUCGUUCUGGGAUACAAAGAGUGGAAAAUAUUUAUUCGCAAAACGUCCCUAUCGUUUUCAUUGGCUAUAUAAUAUUUUAUCCGCUAAAAUUCUGGAAGUGUCUAGACACAAGACAAGGCGGGGCAUAUUAUCACGGGAAAGCAAUAUGUAAGUUCAAUGAAGCGUGCAGAAUGGAUACAGGUGUUCCCUGUUUGAGAAAGAUAAGUCACACGGGCACGUGACCGAAUUAUUAUACACGAGCGUAUAAAUUAAGGAGAUACGUUGGAACUGGGAUUAAGAAACUACACUGAGAAAUGCAACCCUGUUGCGUUAUUUCAGACACCGUCGAGCCAAUUGUAUUUUUCUAAGGUUAAAGAAUAUCUCGAGUCUGAUCGAUUCACGCGAUUUCUCAAUGUUUCGGUUUUACGUUAACUGUUUUCUUAGGACGUCGCUUGACUCGAACUGUUUGAAUUGAUCAAUUCAAUAGAAUCUUUUGUUGUCACAGCUGCAUAAGAUUUAAUAAAUUUCAUAAUUCAAUUAGAUGUAAUUCUUCAGCGACAAUUAAGAGAUGCGUUCAUAGAACAUAGUAAAUAUUUGAUCUUUAAAAAGUUGAAAUAGAUUUAUCAGGCAAAGCUGAAGAAGCACUCUUUCGCUUUCCUGUGAGAAAACAAACACGAACAAGUGUUUCUGUUACGAAUCCUCUCUUUUUAAGAUGUACACUUCUCCAUCACUUCUUUGUCACUCUAACUUUGACAAGUUAGCCCCACCACGAUAUUCUACGGACUUGGAAUGCAAAAUAGUAAAAGAAUUAAGAGAAUGAAAAAUUUGUCUUUUUAGUAUUGACAGAGCGCAAUCCUUAAAAGCGCCAUGAAAGUCAAUCGAACAUAUUUCACGUUCACGUUUCUAUUUUCUACUAAGUAGAGUUCUUCUUUUUCUUCUUCUUCUUCUACUAAGUAGUUCUUCUAAGUAGAGUAAUUGAAUCGGCCACGAAUAUACUAGCUACUAUGCUGCGAGCUUACUUUGCGAUUACAGAGAAUAACCCACCCUUCCUGGAAGCGGAAUUCUUUUUCCGCUUAUCAACGUGGUCGUGAUCCGAUAGAAAUCGAUGAGCGAUAAGAACUUCCGUUUUGGAGCGAAAUCGCCAGCAAAGUGGACUUUGCGUAGAUACUGAGAUUGUAAUUCGUCGUGGAAGCUCUUUUUUUAAACGAUUUCUUGCACAUACGCUCCUGGAAAUACUUCAACGUUUACCACGAAGGACGCUUACGUCUAUGUUGUAUGUGUUAAAUGUACGAGACAUUUUAAAAUUUCUUUAAUACGUUAACGAGACACCACUGUCACGGUUAUAUUGGUGAAAUUUCGUAAAAAUCCGAAAAUGUAUACAGAAAUUACACGAUAUUAUCUGUUGUAAAUGUAUAUUCAGUGAAAACAUGGAAUAUCUAUUUGAAAUGUAUAUGUAAGAAGCGUUGCCGAGAUGGAGCGUCAGAGACUCCGCAGGUGCAAUCUUCCUUACUCUCUUUCAUUCUGUUUGUAACUAAACAGCUUCGUAUUUCUUCUACCUUUCGACAUCAGAUACUACGAUGCACGCAUUCACGCAAAUACACCAAAAUGUGUACUAAAAAUAAUCCUGUGUACACUUGCUAUAAACCAAUAAAGCUCUUCUUCAAAAAGUUUCGUCAUUACCAAGUGAUAGCAAUUGUCCGUAAAAUAGGAGCCGCAAGGCGAUCCGAAUUCUUAGAACAAUUAAUCACUCCGACCAAUUUGCUGUUUUGUCGUUGGUUGGCGUCUAAGUCUCGAACGCCAGCCAACAAAGUCCUAAGGUAAAAGAGAACUUUCAUUUCGACGCGAACUCGAAUUUAUCCAGAAGCAUACAUCAUACGACACACUCGGAAACGUUCGUAUAUUUCAGCCACGGCUGGAACUCGUGCAAUUUUCCUACCAUGAAGUUGCACGCAUCUCUUUAUUGGUAAUUGAUAAGAAACGCGUUAAAGCAACGGUUACGUCAUGCAAGCAAAUGAAAACUAUUGGACAAGAAUAAAAUUGUUAUUGCAACUCGAUCUUAUCGCAUCAGGCAACGGGGAAAGAGAACAUUUUCACGAACAAAAUGAAUAUUUCGAAUUGGAUCCGGACACGCACAUUAUAUCGCCAUUUGCAAUUUCGAAAAUUGAAACAUUGAUCUCGCAUCAAGAUUCUACGAGCAUAAAGAGGAAAACCACGCGAAACAAACGUAUUUCAGGCUAUGGUGUCGGAUUGUAAUCAGUCCGUUUCUUUCCACCGAUGUUUGAUUCGUAAUUGCGUUAGCGGUCGAUGUAAUUUCCAACUUUGAACGCUGUUUGCUCUCGUGCAUCUCGUUUCUGAGUCUUCGUAGUACCGUACGCGGCGUAAAACAAGAGAAGUAUAACAAAAUGUAAACGUAUUAUUGUAAAAGCUUAAGGAUACUUAAAAGUAAAAAGAUACUACAAAUCACACGUGAAAAACUCUGCGAUUCUUUGUUACGGAUAUAUAUAUUUUGUUCUUUUAUAUACAAGGUGGUUGGUAACUGGUGGUACAAGCGGAAAGGGGGCGAUUCUACGCGAAAAAAGAAGUCGAAAAUAUAGAAUAAACAUUUUUCGUUCGAGGCUUUGUUUUCGAGAAAAUCGACUUUGAAUUUUCGGUCGGUACGCGUGCGCUUUAUCACGUCUCGUUAUAACGGAUCUCACUGUAGAUCGUUGUCUCGAUUGACGUUACUUUUUUAAAUUUUUAAAUUUUUUUUAAA